rnacentral:lncRNA from 1 species
GAUCCUGACAAUGCUAGUACAUCAAACGAUGACAGCAAACAGAGUUCCUACCUCAUCAGCUUCUGGAAUAAUGUGGUCAGAAAGCUACUGGGCAGUACCGGGGAUUGAACUCAGGACCUUGUGCUUGUGAGGCAGGUGCAGCACCACUGAGCUAAAUCCUCGACCCAAAGAAGACAAUUUCUGAAGACGAGAGAAUUAGCUUCUUAAUACCAAAUACAUGAAAAAGCAAAGUGGAAAGUUUUCUUGGGACAUGUGCACUGACCCAGACUGCUCAAGGACCUGAGGGUGUUUAGAUGGGUGUGAGCCCCACUGCCACCCUGUGUGGACACAGACCAAGGAACAGAAGGCUAGCAACUGGCCAAGGCCCAGAGUGCCCACUGAUAGGCACACGAAGGGGAGGACAACACUCCAAGAAACUCCAAGAAGCGCCCGUUCCAACAAAUUCUUACAGCCACAAACUGAGAAGGCCUCAAUUUUAAAACUGUUAACACCACUGCUGGCCAUAGCCCCAGUGCUAGGAAGGAGGCUCCCGUCAUUGCUUGGACGCAGGGCUGCUGCCCAGAAACAGCAAAGCCAGCUGGCCAAGAUUAAUGGGAACUGAUAAGAAAACCAGGGCAAGCUAGGGAUAUGCUGGAGGAAAAUUAAUUUGUAUUUGAAAUAGGAAAAAAG